AUUGAACGCUGGCGGCAGGCCUAACACAUGCAAGUCGAACGAGUGGCGGACGGGUGAGUAAUGUCUGGGAAACUGCCCGAUGGAGGGGGAUAACUACUGGAAACGGUAGCUAAUACCGCAUACCAUCGGAUGUGCCCAGAUGGGCUUAGCUAUUCGGUGGGGUCAUGGCGCACCUCGGCGCCGAUCCCUAGCUUGUCUGAGAGGAUGCCCAGCAACACUGGAACGUAGACACGGUCCAUAAGCCUAUGUGAGGCAGCAGUGGGGAAUAUUGCACGAUGGGCGCAAUCCUGAGGCAUCCAGUCCGCGUGUAUGAAGAAGGCCUUGGGGUUGUAAAGUACUUUCAGCGAGGAGGCGUUACUCGCAGAAGAAGCACCGGCUAACUCCGUGCCAGCAGCCGCGGUAAUAC
rnacentral:rRNA from 1 species